rnacentral:rRNA from 1 species
GUCGAACGGUAACAGGCCGCAAGGUGCUGACGAGUGGCGAACGGGUGAGUAAUGCAUCGGAACGUGCCCAGUCGUGGGGGAUAACGCAGCGAAAGCUGUGCUAAUACCGCAUACGAUCUAUGGAUGAAAGCGGGGGACCGUAAGGCCUCGCGCGAUUGGAGCGGCCGAUGUCAGAUUAGCUAGUUGGUGGGGUAAAGGCCCACCAAGGCGACGAUCUGUAGCUGGUCUGAGAGGACGACCAGCCACACUGGGACUGAGACACGGCCCAGACUCCUACGGGAGGCAGCAGUGGGGAAUUUUGGACAAUGGGCGCAAGCCUGAUCCAGCAAUGCCGCGUGCAGGAAGAAGGCCUUCGGGUUGUAAACUGCUUUUGUACGGAACGAAACGGUCCUGGUUAAUACCUGGGGCUAAUGACGGUACCGUAAGAAUAAGCACCGGCUAACUACGUGCCAGCAGCCGCGGUAAUACGUAGGGUGCAAGCGUUAAUCGGAAUUACUGGGCGUAAAGCGUGCGCAGGCGGUUUUGUAAGACAGGCGUGAAAUCCCCGGGCUCAACCUGGGAAUUGCGCUUGUGACUGCAAAGCUGGAGUGCGGCAGAGGGGGAUGGAAUUCCGCGUGUAGCAGUGAAAUGCGUAGAUAUGCGGAGGAACACCGAUGGCGAAGGCAAUCCCCUGGGCCUGCACUGACGCUCAUGCACGAAG